rnacentral:rRNA from 1 species
AUCCUGGUGUCUUUGCUAGUUUGGAACGACACCAACCCAUCCCGAACUUGGUUGUGAAACAAGCUAGGAGCGACAAUACUGAAGGGGUUGCCCUUUGGGAAGAUAGUUUGAUGCCAGGAU